UGACAGGUCUGGAUCACGAAGAGCA
rnacentral:piRNA from 1 species